rnacentral:rRNA from 1 species
GACGAACGCUGGCGGCGUGCCUAAUACAUGCAAGUAGAACGCAGUUGCGAACGGGUGAGUAACGCGUAGGUAACUGCCUCAUAGCGGGGGAUAACUAGUGGAAAAGAUAGAUAAUAUCGCAUACGUUGAGAUGGACCUGCGUUGUCGUAGCUAGUUGGUGAGGUAAAGGCUCACCAAGGCGACGAAACAGAGCAGACCUGAGAGGGGGAUCGGACACACUGGGACUGAGACACGGCCCAGACUCCUCCGGGAGGCAGCAGUAGGGAAUCUUCGGCAAUGGACGGAAGUCUGACCGAGCAACGCCGCGUGAGUGAAGAAGGUUUUCGGAUCGUAAAGCUCUGUUGUUAGAGAAGCUGUAACGAACCAGAAAGGGCCUGCUAACUACGUGCCAGCCGCCGCGGUAAUGC